rnacentral:rRNA from 1 species
GAUGAACGCUAGCGGCAGGCCUAACACAUGCAAGUCGAGGGAUAAGCCUCCGGGCUGAAACCGUCGCACGGGGGCAUAACGCGUAUACAAACUGCAUUUCACAUAGGGAUAGCCCGGGGAAACUUGGAUUAAUACCGAAUAGUAUAUAAGAGUGGCAUCAGUUGUAUAUUAAGGCUUUGGUGGUGAAAGAUGAGUAUGCUUUCUAUUAGCUAGUUGGAGAGGUACCGGCUCCCCAAGGCGACGAUGGAUAGGGGUUGUGGGAGGGAUGUGCCGCACACUGGUACUGGGCUACGGACCAGACUCCUACGGGACGCAGCAGUGAGGGAUAUUGGACAAUGGUCUGAUGACUGAUCCAGCCAUGCCGCGUGCAGGACGACGGUCCUAUGGAUUGUAAACUGCUUUUGUAAGGGAAGAAUAAGGAGUACGUGUACUUUGAUGACGGUACCUUACGAAUAAGCACCGGCUAACUCCGUG